rnacentral:lncRNA from 1 species
GUCUCGGCCCGCCUGUCUGCAAAGCGAGGCGCAGGCAGCGCCCGAUUCUUAAACCUUAUUCGGUGGAGGGGGGCUAGGUGGUCUGCGAUGCCGGGCAGCAGGAAACGCGGGACUGCUAGAACUGGGUUAGGAGGCUAGUUGCACCAGAUGCCAGUAAACGCAGCCAAUGGGUUACGUCCAAUGUAGGGAGGAGAUCUUGAAAAGGACACUGUUUUUUUUUAUUAAGGGGGAUGCAGCCUGAAUGUGAUGCCCCAGACAGCUCAGGGACCUCCGUGGGGCACCUGUCUGUCCAGUCCCCGUUCCGCAGACACUGGCCCCGCGGCUUUCCCGAACGAAAGCAAGUUUCUCAGACGCCCUCGCAGCUAGGCACAGAAAUACGCCUCGUUCCAGCCAACAGGAGGAGGUCGUGAGCUUGGAGCAAGGAGGAGGAGAGGGUGAAGCCAAGCUAGUGAACUGUGGACUGGGUGAUGCCUCUGGGACACAGCUCCUUUCUGGACCAGUUGGCCACACUGCUGCAGGGCGUGAAGAGGGGGAGGGAAAUGCCCACAGAGCCAGCGUGGCCUCCACUCCGCCCCCAACCAGGCCUCUCUUGCCAGUUACUGAUCACACUCACCUGCCAUUCGCAGCUGCCACGCGAGACCCGCUGAGCUCUACCUGACCCAUUUUGACAGUAAUAUGGGGCGGCCUCAGAGAGCAUCAGGGAUACUCAAAGCAGAGCAGGCCCACUUUAUUUUCCUUUAUUAAAAAAUAAAAAGAUUCGAGACACGCACAGUCCCAACUCAUAAAGGGGCUGUACUGUAACCAGUGACUUAGUUUCGGGGUGAAGCCCAAACGGUCAUUGCCAAGAGUAUAGCUGAAUUGUGGCGCAGACUGCAAGCCUGAGGACUGGGAUUAUGGGAACAAGAAGCAGUCAGGAAGGAGGAAAAGAAAGAAGCUGAGAGUUUCUUCUCCUUUCCCUGGCCCCGAAGUCGGCUGUAAAUAAAGUUUUAAAUAGAAAAGCUUGGCCUCUAUCUUCCUCUGACUUCCCCCUUACCGCUCUGUCCUGAUGUGGUCUGGUCCCAGGGCCGCUCGUGCUCUUCUGGCC